GAGGGUAUAGCUUAGUGGUAGAGUGCAUGCUUAGCAUGCACAAGGUCCUGGGUUCAAUCCCCAGUAACUCCU
rnacentral:tRNA from 1 species